CUUGGAUCUUCUUUUCUUUGCAGACACUUUGAAGUCACCUUAAAUCUCCUGGCCAGAUUCAGUAUAUGAUAGUCAAACUGUUUCUCUAUCGUGUUGGUUAAAGUUGUGGUUUUCUUCCUUAAAGACGAAUGCACAGUGACGAGGUCGUACCUUUUCCUCCACAAGUUCUGGUUCUUCAGUACCAUCUACUACUUUGGCAACUGGGUGUUUAUCGGGGUUUUCCUCAUCGGCCUGUUGGUGUCAUGUUGUAAGGGGAAGAAAUCAGUGAUCGAAGGAGAGGUGGAGGCAGAUGACUCUGACAUGAGUGAAGACGAAUAUGUCCACUGACAAGACCACAGCCUGCCAGACCUGGGUUCAAAUACUAUUUGAAAUGUUUUAAAUACUUUUGAGCAUUUGCUUUAGCCUGCCUGGGAGUGCCGGGUGGGUGGGGUUUGCAUGUUCUGGACUAUUCUAUUGGUUCACCUGCAAAAGGCAAGUUUAAUCAAAUACAAUUGAAGUAUUUUAAAUCAUUUUAAACAGUGUGCUCUAAUGAAUAUGGCCCAGGUCUGCUACCUGCAUGGACCAGGAGAUAUUUAAACUGGAUUGGUUUCUGUUACAGCUGGUUUGCUAUAACAUAAGAAUAUGACAUUUGGAUUGUUCAUACAAGGCAGUAAAACUUUAAUUUGAACUGUUGUUUUCUGGUUUCUGCCUGAGAUGGGUUAAUAUUCCACAACGGUGUGUUGAUACUGAUGUAUUAUAACAGGAGAGGGUGAUUGGGAGGUUGCUUUUUUCUAUUAGGGCAACUUUUUGUUUUUUGUUCAGUCAAGUGUCUAUGUUCAAAGCAGUAUGUAAACCCUGAUGCAUCCCAAAUGGCACCCUAUUUCAAAUAUAGUGCACUUCUUUUGACCAAAGCCCUAUUGGACCCUGGUCAAAAGUAGUGCACUAUAUAGGGAAUAGUGUUCCAUUUGAGAUGCAACCCUCUUUGUAUUACUAUGGGUAUGUGCCUGUUGUUUCAAAUGUCAUCUCCACCAAUUCCAUGUUUUUAUGUUUCCAAAAAGAAAGAUUUACUGUUGCAAAAUUCUGGUAUAUUUUCCAAAAUGAGAGGAUUCUGAAUUUCCUGCUUAUUUCCCUCACUAUUCUGGGAAUCUUCAAAUGGGGACGAAAAAGACAGAAAAACCAGGUGAUUUGUGGAAAGUUCCCAACAUUUUCCAACCCUAAGAAAGAUCCCUGGUUGAGAACCAAACGGUGAGUUAUUCAACAAGCCUGUGGUACUGGAUGUUUUGGAUCCUGAAAAGACAAGAUGUUGUCAGGGAAACAUAGUCCAGGAUUACUUUGUUUCUUAUUUAUUUGAACUCAGCACAUUUUUGUUGUCAUGUACAUUUCUGUAAUAUAUGGCUGGAUAAAUGUUUAUUUUAGCCUUUAACAGAUUUAUUAUUUUUAAGAUUACUAACUUAGCACAUUCAGCAUGUUAACUUACAGCAACAAAUAUGGACAUGUAUUUGAGACCAUAUUGAUAAUGCACAUUGCUGAGUUAAAAUAUAUAUCCUCUUGUCCCUGAUUUUGGUUGUGUUUGGUUGGGCUUAGCUUGACUAACUGUUAUUGUGUUGAUGAAUUGAUUUGCUGUAAAGUUAUCUGAACAUGAACUGAGCAUAAUAUCACUUGACUACUGAUCACAAUGUCAAUUUACUUUAUGAAUUUGGAAUAAAAUAUGAAUUCUGAAUUGAUUAUUGCUAUGUUUAUGUUGCUAAUCUAUCCAUUUCUAACGUUAAUUCAGGGAUUGCUUUGGACCUCCAACUUGGGGUUGGCGUAGCCAUUUGUUUUUCAAGGACUAGACAUUAGUGAUAUUUAUUGUGUCCUCUUUAAAACUGUUGAUAAUAAAGAGGUUGGCCCAUCUUA